AAAGAUGGGGCGGCGCGGCCGGGGCUCGCCAGCACCAGCCCUGGAACCCCAUGGGGGACCUCGACAACAGCGCCUUUGCGGCGUGGGCCCCUUUCUGCAGCUCCUCCACCCGCGCGCUGUCGGCUCCGGGACACUGGGGCUUUGAAGGGCGCCAGUUCCCAGCCGCACCUGCACGCCUAGGAGGGCGCAGGCCGCGUGUCCCUGUGGGAGGAAGGCCCCGGCAACCUGCAAAGACCUCACGUCACAGAAACUUGCGGCGUUUGCCCCCGAUGCGCGCGUCAGGUGCUCCGUCCCUUCCAGGUGGCAGAGGAGAGGGAAGGGUCGCGCCUGGUGGGGGCCUGAGAGCCACCGGGCUGCGGUGCGCGAGUGUGGACACCGCCCCGCCUUCUGCGUCUACAGCCCUGGGUUCUGGGACCUUUGGAAACCGCUUUGGACGAAGCUGAGCAUCUCUUUCCCCACGCUGACCUCCCCCAUAGACUCCGGAUGGGAGUAAAUGAGGCCUCCUGUGAACAAAGCAUCACAACAGUCAGCAUCACAAACCCCCAUCAGCCCCGUGCAGUUGCAGUUGUGCUGGACCAGAGCCCAUCAGCCUGGCCUUCGGGCUCUCCUCCACAGCGCCCCACCCAGCUGCUCAGGAUGGCCAUGACCAUCUUCCAUCUGACGCUGUGUGCUCCCUGCACCUGGCCCCAGGAUGCGUGCAAUGGGCUAAACUGUGUCCCUCUUGAAAUGCAUGUGCUGAAGUCCUAAUCCUAAGUACCUCAGAAUGGGAGCUUAUGUGGAGGGAGGGUCUUUACCAAGUUAAAUCGAGUUAUCAGGGUGAGGCAUCAGCCCAUAUGACUGGUGUCCCUACAGAAAAAGGGAAAUGUGGCGACAGACACACACACACACACAAGGAGAACACAGUGUGACCAUGAACAUGGUCAUGGACAAGCCAAGGAGAGAGGCCUGGAACCUGUCCUCCCCACACAGCCCUCAGAGAUGACCAGCCCUGCCCACACCUUGACUUUGGACUUCCCACCUCCGGAACAGAGAAACAAUCCAUCUCGGUUGUUCAAGCCUCUAAUUUGUGCUGCUUUGUGAUGGCAGCCCCAGGAAACUGAAACAAUUCGCUAGCAGGCAAUGAAAAGGGCAGGCCCCCCAGCCCAGGCCAGCUUCAAACUCCUGGGAAAUCCAGAAACUCUAGAGAAGCUUGUUUGCCAAACCUUGCUUUGGGCGGUGGAGACAGAAUAUCAUGUCCCAGAUCAGCGUGUGGUGACUGUGGAGGCAUUUACACACAGCACACUCCAGCUCUGCCACUGGGCCGGCUGAGGUGGCUGCGGUACACGGCGCCCAUCCUGAGCCCCAGGUUCCUCACAUGUCAACAGCAUGAAAAGUGCCUCUAAGACAUCCACAGGUGUGCAGUGUUAAAGCAGGCAGCGCCUCAGCUUGGUUAGCUCCCUUAAGGACUGCGGCUCCCUUAGGACAAGGCUCUGUCCCUCAGAGCACUGAGUGCGAUCUCAUGCUGGCAUCUUAGAGACAUUGUAUUCACCAGGUAAGAUGGAUUCACAUCUGCUGGGUGCACGAACACUUCCUCCUUCCUUGCCACCAGCCAGCAUCACAACCAGCCUGGCCAGGCUCCCGUCCCAGCCCAGCCUAGCAGCUAACCCCAGCUCCAUCCCCCAGCAAGCCCCUCUGCCUGCACCUCAGCUUCUUCAUGGAAGACGAGUCAGGUCAUGAUGCCACCAGGGAGCGUGUUUCCAUGUUGAACUGAGACACUAAGCCCUUGACAAAUGUUGGCCAAGAAAAAAAAGGGGCUCCAAGAGGGGAGCUGUGGCUCAGGUAGAAGACGGUGAAUGAGCAUUGCCUGAAUCAGAGUUAGCUACUCUGGUUACACAGGUGUCCCCGGCAGGUUGGUCAAAAGCCCUUCCCUGAGUCCCGUGAUAAGUGUGGGGAGGGAGGCAAAUCAAAGACCCCUACACACCUCCUGCAUGGAUGGCCAGAGCGCUGGUCCCACCUCCUUCCUUCCAAACUGCAACCCCGAUCAGCACAGCAGAGAAGUCUCCUGUGGCAGGGACCAGUAAUUCAGUGCUUCCCCUGGAGAGUCUGGGAUUGCACAGAACACCAGAGGCUGGGGAUUUAUUUGUUCACCAACAUUCAUUCAACAAACACUUACUGAGGCCAACACUGGGAAUGGAGACGAACUUCCCUGUCCUCAUGGAGCUUGCUUUCAAAAGGGAAGGAGGCAGACAGUAAACAAAACAAGCAAGUCAAUAUACAGCAUGAUGCAGAAAAGGUGUGAUGCCACCCUCUUGCCUGAGUUUAUAACAAGCAGAUGAUGUUGUCCUAAGAAUUAAUUUCAGCCGGUGAAAGAGUACAGGCAAAAAACGUGGUCUCGGACUUUCCGGUGAUGCUUAAGAACAUAGUUGCAGUUUUUGUUCUGAUUCUUUGUGCAUCUCGCGCUAAUGAAGGAUUCUGCCAUGAUUGCCACCUCUGGAGACGUCACAGCCAGCACAGCCAUGACCAGGGAUGAACUUGGCCAUUGUCCAGCAGCACCAUGGGAGGACCAGCUGCUGUAAGUGAAGGUCAUCAUCCAUCUGAUUUGCUGGCUUUUUGCAACUACUGCGGUGGAAGUCUUAGAGUAGCCACCUUCUCUGUACUCAGACCUUCACUUCGCCAGAUGUCAGCACAGCAGUGUCAGCAGCUUCGUCAAACACAAACACCACCACCUCUCUGGAUCAGAAGCACAUGGAAAGCCCACCUUGCAAGAAGACCCAGCUAUUCCAAAAGUACCCAUAUCCCUGUAGCAUCCUCUUAGCUGAAUGUCUCUACUCCUUAAACUUGUACCACUUUGAAGAGUAAAAAUUUAAAUUCA
ensembl:lncRNA LINC01018 long intergenic non-protein coding RNA 1018